GAUCUCCAUAGCUCAGUGGUAGAGCAUUUGCUUUAUAUGCUAAGGGUCCCAAGUUUGAUCCCUGGCAUCUCCA